rnacentral:rRNA from 1 species
CACGUAGGGCGCGAGCGUUGUCCGGAAUUAUUGGGCGUAAAGAGCUCGUAGGCGGCCUGUUGCGUCCGCUGUGAAAGCCCGGGGCUUAACCCCGGGUCGGCAGUGGAUACGGGCAGGCUAGAGGUAGGUAGGGGAGAAUGGAAUUCCCGGUGUAGAGGUGAAAUUCGUAGAUAUCGGGAGGAACACCAGUGGCGAAGGCGGCGACCUGGACGGACACUGACGCUGAGACGCGAAAGCGUGGGGAGCAAACAGGG